rnacentral:tRNA from 1 species
GCGGACGUGGCGAAAUUGGUAGCCGCGCAGGCCUUAGGAGCCUGUCCUUCACGGGGUGGGGGUUCGAGUCCCCCCGUCCGCA